rnacentral:rRNA from 1 species
CUGAGAUGAAAGGCUAUGGCUCAACCAUAGUUUGUUUCAGAAACUGGCAGACUAGAGUGCAGUAGAGGCAAAUGGAAUUCAUAGUGUAGCGGUGGAAUGCGUAGAUAUUAUGAGGAACAUCAGUGGCGAAGGCGAUUUGCUGGGCUGUUACUGACGCUGAGACACGAAAGCGUGGGGAGCAAAUAGGAUUAGAUACCCUAGUAGUCCACGCUGUAAACGAUGAGCACUAAGUGUCGGGUAACCGGUGCUGAAGUUAACACAUUAAGUGCUCCGCCUGAGUAGUACGGUCGCAAGACUGAAACUCAAAGGAAUUGACGGGCACCCGCACAAGCGGUGGAGCAUGCCGUUUAAUUCGAAAAUACGCGAAGAACCUUACCAAGACUUGACAUCCCUGGCAAAGCUAUAGAAAUAUAGUGGAGGUUAUCCAGGUGACAGGUGGUGCAUGGUUGUCGUCAGCUCGUGUCGUGAGAUGUUCGGUUAAGUCCGCUAACGAGCGCAACCCUUGUCAUUAGUUACUAACAUUAAGUUGAGAACUCUAAUGAGACUGCCGAUACUAAAUCGGAGGAAGGUGGGGAUGACGUCAAAUCAUCAUGCCCCUUACGUCUUGGGCAACAGGCGUGCUACAAUGGCUGGUACAAUGAGCUGCAAACCCGCGAGGGGGAGCCAAUCUAAAAAGCCAGUCGUAGUUCGGAUUGAAGUCUGCAACUCGACUUCAUGAAGCUGAAAUCGCUAGUAAUCCUGGAUCAGAAUGCCAGGGUGAAUACGUUCUCGGGUGUUGUACACACCGCCCGUCAAGGCAUGGGAGUCGGUAAUAUCCGAAGUCGGUAGCCUAACCAGUAAUGGAGGGGGCCGCCUAAGAUAGGACCGGUGACUGGGCUUAAGUCGUAACAAGGUAUCCCUACCGGAAGGUGGGGAUG